rnacentral:rRNA from 1 species
UACGUAGGGUGCAAGCGUUGUCCGGAAUUAUUGGGCGUAAAGAGCUCGUAGGCGGUCUGUCGCGUCUGCUGUGAAAACUCGGGGCUUAACCCCGGGCCUGCAGUGGGUACGGGCAGACUAGAGUGCGGUAGGGGAGACUGGAAUUCCCGGUGUAGCAGUGAAAUGCGUAGAUAUCGGGAGGAAUACCGAUGGCGAAGGCAGGUCUCUGGGCUGACACUGACGCUCAUGCACGAAAGCGUGGGGAGCAAACAGG